rnacentral:lncRNA from 1 species
AGACGAACAGGGUCCAGCGAACAGCACCCAUCUAGAAGAACUCGGGCAGAGAAUUUAAAGAGUUACUCUGGGGCCGGGAGGGAAGUUCAGUGGUCACAUAGGCCAUACCCCUGCUUUAAACAAGAAUUAACAAACCCUUCCAGAGAAGAAACAACAAAGAUGUCCAACCCAUUGUUGAGCUCCAGCCUGAAAUUUGGAUACUUGAUCUUUACCCAAAGUCAAUAUUUUGGGAGAAGUUUGAACUAAUUCAUUCAUGCACUCUUGGGUUUCAAGCAUGAAAAAUCCCCACAGUUUUCCACUUAAGAAGAAAUAAAAAGUCC